rnacentral:rRNA from 1 species
UACGUAGGGGGCAAGCGUUGUCCGGAAUCAUUGGGCGUAAAGAGCGUGUAGGCGGCCCGAUAAGUCCGCCGUGAAAGUCCAGGGCUCAACCUGGAAUGCCAGCGGAAACUGUCGGGCUCGAGUCCGGAAGAGGCGAGUGGAAUUCCUGGUGUAGCGGUGGAAUGCGCAGAUAUCAGGAGGAACACCGAUGGCGAAGGCAGCUCGCUGGGACGGUACUGACGCUGGAGGCGCGAAAGCGUGGGAGCGAACAGG